rnacentral:rRNA from 1 species
AUUGAACGCUAGCGGCAGGCCUAACACAUGCAAGUCGGACGAGCGGCGGACGGGAGAGUAAUGUAUGGGAAUCUGCCUGAUGGAGGGGGAUAACUACUGGAAAAGGUAGCUAAUACCGCAUACCAUCGGAGGACCCCAUAUGGGAUUAGCUCGUAGGUGAGGUAACGGCUCACCUAGGCGACGAUCCCUAGCUGGGCUGACAGGAUGACCAGCCACACUGGGACUGAGACACGGCCCAGACUCCUACGGGAGGCAGCAGUGGGGAAUAUUGCACAAUGGGCGCAAUCCUGAUGCAGCCAUGCCGCGUGUAUGAAGAAGGCCUUCGGGUUGUAAAGUACUGUCAGCCGGGAGGCGUGACCGACAGAAGAAGCACCGGCUAACUCCGUGCCAGCAGCCGCGGUAAUAC